rnacentral:rRNA from 1 species
CCUACGGGUGGCAGCAGUGGGGAAUAUUUCACAAUGGGGGAAACCCUGAUGCAGCGACGCCGCGUGAAGGAAGAAGUAUUUCGGUAUGUAAACUUCUAUCAGCAGGGAAGAAAAUGACGGUACCUGACUAAGAAGCCCCGGCUAACUACGUGCCAGCAGCCGCGGUAAUACGUAGGGGGCAAGCGUUAUCCGGAUUUACUGGGUGUAAAGGGAGCGUAGGCGGUGCAGCAAGUCAGAAGUGAAAGCCCGGGGCUCAACUCCGGGACUGCUUUUGAAACUGUUGGACUAGAGUGCAGGAGAGGUAAGUGGAAUUCCUAGUGUAGCGGUGAAAUGCGUAGAUAUUAGGAGGAACACUAGUGGCGAAGGCGGCUUACUGGACUGUAAAUGACGCUGAGGCUCGAAAGCGUGGGGAGCAAACAGGAUUAGAUACCCUUGUAGUC